UACGUAGGGUGCAAGCGUUGUCCGGAAUUAUUGGGCGUAAAGAGCUCGUAGGCGGUUUGUCGCGUCUGCUGUGAAAACCCGGGGCUUAACCCCUGGCUUGCAGUGGAUACGGACAGACUAGAGGUAGGUAGGGGAGAAUGGAAUUCCCGGUGUAGCGGUGAAAUGCGCAGAUAUCGGGAGGAACACCGGUGGCGAAGGCGGUUCUCUGGGCCUUACCUGACGCUGAGGAGCGAAAGCGUG
rnacentral:rRNA from 1 species